rnacentral:rRNA from 1 species
AGGACGAACGCUGGCGGCGUGCUUCAUACAUGCAAGUCGAACGGUGAUCCAUCUUCGGGUGGUGAUCAGUGGCGAACGGGUGAGUAACACGUGAGCAACCUGCCCUCCGCUCUGGGAUAACCCCGGGAAACCGGGGCUAAUACCGGAUAUGAGCUUCCACUGCAUGGUGGGGGUUGGAAAGUUUUUCGGCGGGGGAUGGGCUCGCGGCCUAUCAGCUUGUUGGUGGGGUAGUGGCCUACCAAGGCGGUGACGGGUAGCCGGCCUGAGAGGGUGAUCGGCCACACUGGGACUGAGACACGGCCCAGACUCCUACGGGAGGCAGCAGUAGGGAAUAUUGCGCAAUGGGCGGAAGCCUGACGCAGCAACGCCGCGUGGGGAUGACGGCCUUCGGGUUGUAACCUCUUCAGCAGGAAGAAGCGAAGUGACGGUACCUGCAGAAGAAGGACCGGCUAACUACGUGCCAGCAGCCGC